rnacentral:rRNA from 1 species
UACAGAGGAGCCAAGCGUUGUCCGGAUUGACUGGGCGUAAAGCGCACGCAGGCGGCAUCGCGCGUGGGGUGUGAAAUCUGGCCGCUUAACGGCCAGGCGCCAUCCCAUACGGCGAAGCUGGAGCGAUGCAGAGGUCGGUGGAAUUCCCGGUGUAGUGGUGAAAUGCGUAGAUAUCGGGAGGAACACCAGUGGCGAAGGCGGCUUCCUGGCCUGUUCUUGACGCUGAGGCGCGAAAGCUAGGGGAGCAAACGGG